GCCUUUCCUGGGAGCAGGUUUUGAAAGCAAUGAGGGCCCGGGAUGAUAGAAGGGGAAGCUUCACACAGCAAGAAAAGGGCUCUGAGAUGCCAGGCCAGGGCUGGGGAAGGCAAGCUGGGCACUGAGUGUGUGACCUUUCAGGUGGCAUCACUCUUGAGUGCUGACCCGGCUCUUGCACAAUGCUGCCCAUAAGAAGCCAGGUCGCAAAGGUAAAGUUUAAACUCCCUUUUCCAGGUGCAGUCCUGAGAAAGGGGUUACUUUUUUGUUGUGUUCAUUUUGGUGUAGAAUGGAUUUAGCAGCGUGGAGAUGCCCUUUGAGCACAUUCUGCUUGGCGCUGGUGACUGAGUGGUCCGGAAAGGGUCCUGAAGAAGAAGCUUUUUUUUUUUCUGGGUGGGGGGUGGUGGAUGCAUAUUGAGGUGCAGCAAGCGUGGUGGAGAGAAAGACAGGAAAAGGCCAAGGGCAGUGUGGUCAGGCCCAGCUGGCGCGGGGCAGAGAGUGAACUGCUUGAGGAGGAGCAUCGCCCCACCUCUGAUGAUGUGUUGGCCGGCAGGGAACGCAGAACGCUCUGGCACCUUCAACAGACUUGCCCCUUGGGGAGCUCUGGAGACAGCCACAGCAGCGCCCCUGGAGACCCCCGGCUGAAGGGACAGCAGCGAGAGGCCUCCCCACAAGGAGCCUGACAGCGGCUGGACUGAAGACUGUGAGGGAGCUGAGCCACAGUGCAUCCAAGCUGCUCCAGGAUCUGGAGUAUUACGGACCACGAGAGAUGCAGAAAUGGAGCACAGGCGGUGAGCCAAGGACACCCGAGGUACGAGCUCUUGCCCUUCUCCUUCCCUGCCCUCUGCUGCCUGGAGAUACGGCAGCCCAGCACCAGCCCCCCAGCUGCUUCCAGUGGAAAAAUGCU
rnacentral:lncRNA from 1 species